rnacentral:rRNA from 1 species
GACGAACGCUGGCGGCGUGCCUAACACAUGCAAGUCGAGCGGAGAUAGACUGAUGGUAACUGAAGUUUGUCUUAGCGGCGGACGGGUGAGUAACACGUGGGCAACCUGCCUUGGAGUGGGGGAUAACACCGGGAAAUCGGUGCUAAUACCGCAUAACAUACACAAACUGCAUGGUAAGUGUAUCAAAGGAGCAAUCCGCUUUAAGAUGGGCCCGCGGCUGAUUAGCUAGUUGGUAAGGUAACGGCUUACCAAGGCGACGAUCAGUAGCCGACCUGAGAGGGUGACCGGCCACACUGGAACUGAGACACGGUCCAGACUCCUACGGGAGGCAGCAGUGGGGAAUAUUGGUAAUGCGCGAAAGCGUGAACCAGCAACGCCGCGUGUGCGAUGAAGGCCUUCGGUUGUAAGCACUUUUCGGUAGGAAGAGGAAGGGACUGUACGUCCCCUAGGAAUAAGCCUCGGGCUAACUAAUGUGCCAGCAGCCGCGGUAAGCUCGUCGUCUA